UGUACCAUUUGGGUUCUGAAUUUGAGGA
rnacentral:piRNA from 1 species